rnacentral:rRNA from 1 species
GAUGAACGCUAGCUACAGGCUUAACACAUGCAAGUCGAGGGGUAGCACGGAGGAAGCUUGCUUCCUUGGGUGACGACCGGCGCACGGGUGAGUAACGCGUAUCCGACCUACCCAUUACUCGGGCACAGCCGCUCGAAAGAGUGAUUGAUUCCCGAUAUGUCAUUAGAGUAGAUUUAACGAUGAAAGAUUUAUCGGUAAUGGAUGGGGAUGCGUAAGAUUAGGUAGUAGGCGGGGUAACGGCCCACCUAGCCGACGAUCUUUAGGGGUUCUGAGAGGAAGGUCCCCCACACUGGUACUGAGACACGGACCAGACUCCUACGGGAGGCAGCAGUGAGGAAUAUUGGUCAAUGGGCGGAAGCCUGAACCAGCCAAGUAGCGUGAAGGAUUACAGCCCUACGGGUUUUAAACUUCUUUUAUAUAAGAGUAAUGUGCACUACGUGUAGUGUAUUGCAAGUAUUAUAUGAAUAAGCAUCGGCUAACUCCGUGCCAGCCGCCGCUGUAAAAC